AUUGAACGCUGGCGGCAGGCCUAACACAUGCAAGUCGAGCGGUAGAGAGAAGCUUGCUUCUCUUGAGAGCGGCGGACGGGUGAGUAAUGCCUAGGAAUCUGCCUGGUAGUGGGGGAUAACGUUCGGAAACGGACGCUAAUACCGCAUACGUCCUACGGGAGAAAGCCGGGGACCUUCGGGCCUUGCGCUAUCAGAUGAGCCUAGGUCGGAUUAGCUAGUUGGUGGGGUAAUGGCUCACCAAGGCGACGAUCCGUAACUGGUCUGAGAGGAUGAUCAGUCACACUGGAACUGAGACACGGUCCAGACUCCUACGGGAGGCAGCAGUGGGGAAUAUUGGACAAUGGGCGAAAGCCUGAUCCAGCCAUGCCGCGUGUGUGAAGAAGGUCUUCGGAUUGUAAAGCACUUUAAGUUGGGAGGAAGGGCAGUAAAUUAAUACUUUGCUGUUUUGACGUUACCGACAGAAUAAGCACCGGCUAACUCUGUG
rnacentral:rRNA from 1 species